GAUGAAGAACGUAGCAAAAUGCGAUAAGUAAUGCGAAUUGCAGAAUUUCCGUGAGUCAUCGAAUCUUUGAACGCACAUUGCGCCCGGUAGUAUUCUGCCGGGCAUGCCUGUUCGAGCGUCAUUUCAACCAUCAAGCCCCAGCGCUUGUGUUGGGGGCCUGCGGCUGCCGCAGCCCCCUAAAAGCAGUGGCGGGCUCGCUAUCACACCGAGUGCAGUAGUUCAUCUUCUCUCCGGUCUUGUGAGGCGGGUUCCGGCCGUGAAACACCCCACUACAUUCAAGGUUGACCUCGGAUCAGGUAGGAAUACCCGCUGAACUUAAGCAUAUCAAUAAGCGGAGGA
rnacentral:misc_RNA from 1 species